rnacentral:misc_RNA from 1 species
GAUGAAGAACGCAGCGAAAUGCGAUAAGUAAUGUGAAUUGCAGAAUUCAGUGAAUCAUCGAAUCUUUGAACGCACAUUGCGCCCCCUGGUAUUCCGGGGGGCAUGCCUGUUCGAGCGUCAUUUCACCACUCAAGCCUCGCUUGGUAUUGGGCAACGCGGUCCGCCGCGUGCCUCAAAUCGACCGGCUGGGUCUUCUGUCCCCUAAGCGUUGUGGAAACUAUUCGCUAAAGGGUGUUCGGGAGGCUACGCCGUAAAACAACCCCAUUUCUAAGGUUGACCUCGGAUCAGGUAGGGAUACCCGCUGAACUUAAGCAUAUCAUUAAGCGGAGGA